rnacentral:rRNA from 1 species
GCACGAGCUUGCUCUGAUUUGAUUUUAUCUGACAAAGAGUGGCGAACGGGUGAGUAACACGUGGGUAACCUACCUCUUAGCAGGGGAUAACAUUUGGAAACAAGUGCUAAUACCGUAUAAUACCAACAACCGCAUGGUUGUUGGUUGAAAGAUGGUUCUGCUAUCACUAAGAGAUGGACCCGCGGUGCAUUAGCUAGUUGGUAAGGUAACGGCUUACCAAGGCAAUGAUGCAUAGCCGAGUUGAGAGACUGAUCGGCCACAAUGGGACUGAGACACGGCCCAUACUCCUACGGGAGGCAGCAGUAGGGAAUCUUCCACAAUGGGCGCAAGCCUGAUGGAGCAACGCCGCGUGUGUGAUGAAGGGUUUCGGCUCGUAAAACACUGUUAUAAGAGAAGAACGGCACUGAGAGUAACUGUUCAGUGUGUGACGGUAUCUUACCAGAAAGGAACGGCUAAAUAGUGCCGGCCAACCGCGGUA